ACACAGCAUUCACCACUUAAGCGACGGCGCUCGUGCCAGGCUAAGGUGAAAUUCGAGACCGUGGCUACUGGCAAGGAGGUCACGGGGACAGACCCCAUUGCAUUAUGGAUUCACCGACUGAGAUGAGUGCACCACCUGUGCCCCCCCCUCCCCUACCACCACGCUGCUCGCUCGCUGUGUUCUUGCCUCCCGGCGCUCGGCUCGUCAUUGUGAGCUUCGCAUCCGUAGGAGCUUCAGAUCCGUGGCUCGGCUCGCAAUCAACGUCGAGCGAGAGGAGUAGUGGUGGUGGUGAUGGUGGUGGUCAUGGUUGACCUGCGCCUCCCACUCCACAUGUGUGGAGUGACGCAGGCAAGAGAUAAUGGGAGUCUGAUGUUGUCUGUAAUCCCCUUGUCCCAGGUGCUCGGGCUGACGUGAGGCUUCUCAGAAUUGGUCACCUCGCUAGGUGACUUCAAUGCCCCGUGUGUUUAGCUCAAGGUGCUCCUGCAACUUGGAUUAGCACGGUUCGCUAUUUGCGGUCCGUGUAAGUUCAACACACACAGCACGUGGACAUCCGUGGAAAAAAAAACAACGACCAUCGCCGCUCAUCUGAUUCUUUCAGUCUCAAUAAAGAGUCUGAUUGUGACAGAUGCUGGUGCAGCCCGCGGUCUAUUUAAUGACCAAUCGCAUCGUGUUCCAACAUCGGUGAAUUCCCGGCCCGAGCAAGAAUAUAGACAGCUUGAGAAAUCACCGAUGAGAUUCACGUCAAACGGAAGAAGCACGUGUUCCGACUGCAGCGUCGAAAUUCUCGAAUGCCAGUUCAUAUCUUUGACACGUGGCCCGCUGCUGUGCAGCCGAUCCAUCCACUGACCCCUGGGCUUGUCAUGCGUAAGAUGCUCC